rnacentral:rRNA from 1 species
UGGGGAAUUUUGGACAAUGGGCGAAAGCCUGAUCCAGCCAUGCCGCGUGAGUGAAGAAGGCCUUCGGGUUGUAAAGCUCUUUCGGACGGAAAGAAAUCGCGCGGGCUAAUAUCCCGCGUGGAUGACGGUACCGUAAGAAGAAGCACCGGCUAACUUCGU